rnacentral:rRNA from 1 species
UGGGGAAUAUUGCACAAUGGACGGAAGUCUGAUGCAGCCACGCCGCGUGGGGGAUGAAGGCUUUCGGGUUUUAAACUCUUUUUUAUGCUGAAAAAGCCUCUUUUUAGGGUUGAGGUUAGGUGUUGAUAAAGCGCCGGCUAACUACGUGCCAGCACCCGCGGUAAUACGUAGGGCGCGAGCGUUGUCCGGAAUUAUUGGGCGUAAAGGGCUCGUAGGCGGUUUGUGGCCUCGGCUGUGAAAGACCGGGGCUUAACUCCGGGGUUGCAGUGGGUACGGGGAGACUAGAGUGCGGUAGGGGUAGCUGGAAUUCCUGGUGUAGCGGUGGAAUGCGCAGAUAUCAGGAGGAACACAGAUGGCGAAGGCAGGUUACUGGGCCGUUACUGACGCUGAGGAGCGAAAGCAUGGGGAGCGAACAGG